AGGCUGAAAUGGCCAUCAUCCCUCUCUCUACUGUUAUGCUGCAGAUACGGCCAUCACUCCCUCUCUCUACUGGUUAUGCUGCAGAUACGGCCAUCACUCCCUCUCUCUACUGGUUAUGCUGCAGAUACGGCCAUCACUCCCUCUCUCUACUGGUUAUGCUGCACAGACGGCCAUCACUCCCUCUCUCUACUGGUUAUGCUGCACAGACUGCCAUCACUCCCUCUCUCUACUGGUUAGGCUCCUGUGACAGAGGCCGGUACCAUAUGCCAGGGCAUUAACACCCCUUUAUGUUCUCAAUGGGAUUGUAUUUAUCAUGCUGUCGUCAGUCGUACAAUCAGGGGUUUUCUCUUCAGGCUUUCUGGAGGCUUUCUCAAUCAAAAACAGAAUUGCUGGAGUGAGUGUACAGGCAGUGUACAGACAGUGUACAGGCACAAGAUAGAUGUUUCACCUGAUCUGGGUGCUGUUUGUACAGUAUAAUAUUAUAUAAUGAAUUUCACCUGUAAUUAUGGUCUGGACAGGUCCAGUCCAACCCAUUAAACAGUGAUUGGAAUUUACGUGGAUAUUAGUGUCUUACAGAACUUUAAAAACUUCACUCCCAUAUUCCAAAACCAAACAGAACGAAUGAAUAAAACACAGAGGGUUCUCCUUACCUCGUCUUCCGAUUCUUAACCCCCAGCUUUACCUUUCACUCCUUGACCUUUCUAUAGCUUUUCUUCUCUACAGGUGUUUAAUUAACAUCAAUUAACCCUCUUACAGAUCCAGAGGCAGGAUAAAGUGAUUAAGGGGGCAGUUGAAAUCGGCUUAUAUCACAGUAUACCACAAUAAACAUGAAGUUCAAAUGCUGGCACUCCGAGAUAAUUGAGUGCUUUUGAAGUGACAGGUUGGUGUGAAAUCUCCUCUGCGCUGUAUCAGCGUAAAAUAGGGUCCUUCUAGCAGUCAUAA
rnacentral:lncRNA from 1 species